UACGGAGGGUGCAAACGUUGCUCGGAAUCAUUGGGCGUAAAGCGCACGUAGGCGGCCCCGCAAGUCGGAUGUGAAAGCCCUUGGCUCAACUGAGGAAGUGCAUUCGAAACUGCGGGACUUGAGUAUGGAAGAGGGUCUCGGAAUUCCCGGUGUAGAGGUGAAAUUCGUAGAUAUCGGGAGGAACACCAGCGGCGAAGGCGGAGACCUGGGCCAAUACUGACGCUGAGGUGCGAAAGCGUGGGGAGCAAACAGG
rnacentral:rRNA from 1 species